CCUACGGGUGGCAGCAGUGAGGAAUAUUGGUCAAUGGACGAGAGUCUGAACCAGCCAAGUAGCGUGAAGGAUGACUGCCCUAUGGGUUGUAAACUUCUUUUAUAUGGGAAUAAAAUGUUCCACGUGUGGGAUUUUGUAUGUACCAUAUGAAUAAGGAUCGGCUAACUCCGUGCCAGCAGCCGCGGUAAUACGGAGGAUCCGAGCGUUAUACGGAUUUAUUUGGGUUUAAGGGAGCGUAGGUGGAUUGUUAAGUCCGUUGGGAAAGUUUGCGGCUCAACCGUAAAAUUGCAGUUGAAACUGGCAGUCUUGAGUACAGUAGAGGUAGGCGGAAUUCGUGGUGUAGCGGUGAAAUGCUUAGAUAUCACGAAGAACUCCGAUUGCGAAGGCAGUUCACUGGACUGCAACUGACACUGAGGCACGAAAGUGUGGGUAUCAAACAGGAUUAGAUACCCUUGCAGUC
rnacentral:rRNA from 1 species